CCGAAAUUUGCGCCGGAACCAAGCGGCAUCCAACGUUUGCCACAGCCAUGCUCGCCGCCACGGACCGUGAACAAACCCCUGAACGGAGGGGUGUCAGCAGUAGCUAGUGGCAUCAGCUACUGCUGUAAACCCGCAGUUCAGGAGAUUGGGGUCGGUCGCGGUGAGCACGGCUGUGACAAAUUAAAUGUUGGAUGCCGCUUGGUUCCGGCGCAGAUUUCGG
rnacentral:pre_miRNA from 1 species